CAGGUCCUCAGCAGCAGAAGAUGAGGCGGGGGCAGGCAGCACCUGAUCGAGGUGCAGACACAGAGCUUGCUUCUGACCUGUCAGUCUGCUGGAGUGGAGUGUAACUCUCUCCCCUCCCUCUGCUUUGCUUUCCUGACUCUACAGAAAAGAGAGACCUUGACUUGCCGUCAGAGGACCUGGCUCUCUUGGGGUCUCCACGAAGAACUCAUCCUGGCUGCAAACAGUUCUCUCCUCGACUCUCUCCUACGAAAGGAGCAUUCUGGGCCCCAAGUACUCUGCGGUGUUUUCUCCUUGGAGGACAGAGUGGCAGAAGGUCUCUUUCCUGUUAGUCCCCAAAGGUGGAGAGAAGGAUGUCAGAGCUUGGAAGAGGGUGCAGGAUGCCACUCCCGACCUCACUUCCCUGCCUCCUGUGCCCAGGCAAGCUCCAAGCUGGAAAGGACCUGCUAGCCUGGUGGCAUGCGAUGGCCUUGGUUCUGUGAUGCUUGGGUGAGAAGAAUAGCUCACUGAUAGUCUUCCAGUAACUGCAUCAUUCAGCCAUUCAACAAACACUCUUCAGCACUGGUCUAGAGACCCUGAAUCCUAUUCUGCCUGGACCGCUCACUUGUUGUGCAUCUCUAGAAGAGCUGUUGCCUUUUCUGGGCAAUUUCAUCAGAAUAAGAUAGAAAUCCAAGGUACUGUGGUGCACAUCUCUCCCAGUGCCCUCUGAGGGCCCGUGCUGUAAGGAGAGCCGAGGACACACCUCGCUUU
rnacentral:lncRNA from 1 species